rnacentral:rRNA from 1 species
UACGAAGGGGGCUAGCGUUGCUCGGAAUGACUGGGCGUAAAGGGCGCGUAGGCGGUUUGUACAGUCAGGUGUGAAAUUCCCGGGCUCAACCUGGGGGCUGCACUUGAUACGUAUGGACUGGAGUGGGGAAGAGGGUCGUGGAAUUCCCAGUGUAGAGGUGAAAUUCGUAGAUAUUGGGAAGAACACCCGUGGCGAAGGCGGUUCUCUGGGACGGUACUGACGCUGAGACGCGAAAGCGUGGGGAGCGAACAGG